rnacentral:lncRNA from 1 species
GGCUUUCAGGGUCCACACAGAGACUCUUGCUGCAUUGGGUGUCCCUUUCUCCUGUCCUCCUCCAAGGGCUCUGGAAUUCUCUCGCUAGCUCAGCAAGGGCACCGACGCCCUUGUCUUAUGUACAGAGGAUGUAUUUUGGACAAACUCCCUAUGUUUGGAGUCUGAAGAAAGUCGUACAGUCAAGUUCCCUGGGGUUGUUCUGUGGAAGAGCGGGCGCGAACAAAAUCAUGCUGAAGGAACACAGCGCAGACGUCACCCUGGAGCAGCUGAGAGGUGACGCUGCAGCAGUCCCCCCUCCGCUCUGCCAGCUCCUCUUCACGGCCACCCCGCCACGGCCUCUCCUUCCCUUUCCACGGUCACGCCAACCCCCUGAGCUCAGCCAAGUGCGCAGCUAACAACAACCUCCCGGGAGGUCUCCCUCUCUGGGAUGCGGCACGUGGGUCUGGGAACAGGACACAAGACUCAGCGGCCCCCGGAGCACAGCACGGCGGGCGGAAGAAGGAGAUGCCUUCCCAAGGGGGAAUAGGAUGCUGGGCUGCUCCCGGGGUCUCCCAGGCAGCCGGGCACACGCUCUAAACCCACAACCAGCUCUGGUUGGUUGGGACUGAAGGUUGCAGAGCUCCCGGCCAGAUGGGGGAAGCUGGGAACGCCGGCUCCUGGGUGAGGCUGUCUGCUGGGUGCUGCCAGGCAGGAUUCAGAAGCAGAGCCUGGGGCCUGAGGAAAGAGCCCUGUGCCCCGGCAUGUGACACGUUUAUCCACCUCUACGGUUCACUGUGAUGAAGUUCAAUGCAGCAGACACGAUUCUAGACUGGUAUUUUCACAUGAGAGUGUGUGCGGAUCUCACUAGGAGAGCUGAUUAAAACAUUCCUGUUUCUGGGCUUGCCCUCCAUGUCAUCCUAGAGUUUGGGGUGGGCCCUGGGGAUGUGCCCAGUGGCAAAAAGGACCACAGAUAACGAGGGAAACUUAGGGGACACUGGGAGAUCCCUGUAAGCAAAUAAAUUGCUGAAAAAACCCA